rnacentral:lncRNA from 1 species
CAUGAAUAAUCCAGCCCACGUUUAACAUAUAAUUGAGAAAUAACUAGAAGUAUCCUUAAUGGAGCAGUGCAAGCCACUGCUCUGCCUAUGGAGUAGCCAUUCUUUUAUUCCCUCACUUUCUUAAUACAUUUGUGUUUACUUUAUGGACUUGCCUUGAUUUCUUUCUUGUGUGAGAUCCAAGAACCCUCCCUUGGGGUCUGGAUUCAGACUCCUUUCUGGUAACAUCUUUCUGGCAAACCACUAAGGGAUUAUACUGAAAUGACCCCCGACCCAAAGGAAAAUCUUCUGUGUGCAGCACCACUUGGCCAACUUUGGGUAAGUGAGGCGCAUUUAACUCGGUAAAGAAUGGAAUUGGGUUAGAGACCCAACUUAGAAAAGUUAGAGUCUGCCCUAAGAUAGAGAGGGUUAAAGACCCCCUCUUAAUAAAAGGCAAGGGUGCUUGACUGAACCUGUUUGGGGCCCAACUUAGGAAGGUUAGAGCCCUUCCUAAGAUUUAUGGGGUUGGAGGCCCCUCUCAGUAAAGUUCCUCUCGGCUAAAAGUGGGUUUGGCACUACUGGAUGUUAACUGCUAUUUUCUUUGGACUUAUCUGCCUUGCACUCUUUGCUGAUGGCUACGGGAGACAGAAUUAAACAUAUUCAGGAUCAAAGGACAUGGCGAGCUAUUUUUCCCCAAAAGGGAGACACUCGAGAGCUGAUGGGACUUCUGGAGCCAAUAAAACUUUUCUUUUGAGUGAUUUGCAGCUUUUAACAAACUGAACCUGCUUAUUUCUGUGAACCAACCAGUGAUCUCUUAUGGCUGUUCAAAAGUAACAAGAGAGAUAUCACCUUUUGUCAUAACUCAAGUCUUAUGAAUGGCCCUCACCAUAAUGAUGCUUUUUGACUGAGCUCUUCUCUAACCUGAAUGCAAGAGGUUAGGCAUGAAUAUCAUCCCCCCUGUUCAGCCUGAAGAAGUUACAGAAGAUGAAUCUUCCACUCUCUACAGCCCUUAGGAUUAAGGGUUCUCUUACUGAAUGUAUUCUUAAACUGAACACUUAUUAAUCUUCCAGAUAUCACCUUUUGUCAUAACUCAAGACUUAUGAAUGGCCCUCACCAUAAUGAUGCUUUUUGACUGAGCUCUUCUCUAACCUGAAUGCAAGAGGUUAGGCAUGAAUAUCAUCCCCCCUGUUCAGCCUGAAGAAGUUACAGAAGAUGAAUCUUCCUCUCUCUACAGCCCUUAGGAUUAAGGGUUCUCUUACUGAAUGUAUUCUUAAACUGAACACUUAUUAAUCUUCCAGAUAUCACCUUUUGUCAUAACUCAAGACUUAUGAAUGGCCCUCACCAUAAUGAUGCUUUUUGACUGAGCUCUUCUCUAACCUGAAUGCAAGAGGUUAGGCAUGAAUAUCAUCCCCCCUGUUCAGCCUGAAGAAGUUACAGAAGAUGAAUCUUCCUCUCUCUACAGCCCUUAGGAUUAAGGGUUCUCUUAUAAAAGGGAGGGGGUAAAUAUGUCAGAGGCAUUUGAACCAGAGAAACUCCAUCUUGAAUAGUCCCUGUGUAAAAUAAGACUGAGACCUACUGGGAUGCAUUCCCAGGAGGUUAGGCAUUCUAAUUCACAGGAUGAGAUAAGAAGUCUCCACAAGAUACAGAUUAUAAAGAUUUGGCUGAUAAAACUGUUUGUGAUAAAGAAGCUGGCCAAAACACACCAAAACCAAGAUGCCAACAAAAGUGUCCUCUGGUUGUCCUCACUGCUCAUUAUAUGCUAAUUAUAAUGCAUUAGCAUGUUAAAAGACACUCCCACCAGUGCAAUGACAAUGUACAAAUGCCUUGGCAACAUCAAGAAGUUACCCUAUAUGGUUUAAAAAUGCAGCAACAUGGAUGCAGGGGGAGGCCAUAAUCAUAAGGGAGUUAACACAAGAAGAAACAACAAAAUUCCACAUGUUUUCAUGGAUAAGUGGGAGCUUAACACUGAGCAUGGGAACAUGAACAUGAACACGAGAAAUAUAGACACUGUGGACUCCUAGAGAUCCAUCUUAUUCUGAUUGAAAAAGAGGUUUGCUAUUAUUUCAAUCUUCUUAAAUUUGUUAAGACUUGGUUUGUGGUGUAACAUGUAACUUGUCCUGGAGAAUGUUCCAGGUGUGCUUGAAAAGGAUGUCUAUUCUGCAAAAUGGAUAUGCAAAAAUGGCUAGCAUUCCUAUACACCAACAAUAGGCAAGCAGGGAGCCAAAUCAUGAUUGAACUCCCAUUCACAAUUUCUACACAAAGACGGAAAUACCUAGAAACACAGCUAACAAGGGAAAUGAAGGACCUCUUUAAGGAGAACCACAAACCACUUCUCAAAGGAAUCAGAGA